GACAGAGGGUGCAAACGUUGUUCGGAAUUACUGGGCGUAAAGCGCGUGUAGGCGGCUAAGUAGGUCGGGCGUGAAAUCCCACGGCUCAACCGUGGAAGUGCACUCGAAACUGCAUAGCUAGAGUCCUGGAGAGGAAGGUGGAAUGCUUGGUGUAGAGGUGAAAUUCGUAGAUAUCAAGCGGAACACCGGUGGCGAAGGCGGCCUUCUGGACAGUGACUGACGCUGAGACGCGAAAGCGUGGGGAGCAAACAGG
rnacentral:rRNA from 1 species